rnacentral:rRNA from 1 species
CUCUUUUAGAGAUGAGUGGCGAACGGGUGAGUAAUACAUAGGUAACCUGCCCCUGUGCGGGGGAUAACAGGAGGAAACUCCUGCUAAUACCGCAUAGCCAUGAGCACCGCAUGGAGCUCAUGCCAAAUAUCCUUUAUGGGAUAGCGCAGGGAUGGACCUAUGGCGCAUUAGCUGGUUGGCGGGGCAACGGCCCACCAAGGCAACGAUGCGUAGCCGGCCUGAGAGGGCGGACGGCCACAUUGGGACUGUGACACGGCCCAGACUCCUACGGGAGGCAGCAGUAGGGAAUUUUCGGCAAUGGGGGAAACCCUGACCGAGCAACGCCGCGUGAGCGAAGAAGGCCUUCGGGUCGUAAAGCUCUGUUGUAAAGGAAGAACGGCGCAUACAGGAAAUGGUAUGCGAGUGACGGUACUUUACCAGAAAGCCACGGCUAACUACGUGCCAGCAGCCGCGGUAAUACGUAGGUGGCGAGCGUUAUCCGGAAUCAUUGGGCGUAAAGAGGGAGCAGGCGGCCGCAAGGGUCUGUGGUGAAAGCCCGAAGCUAAACUUCGGUAAGCCAUGGAAACCGGGCGGCUAGAGUGCGGAAGAGGAUCGUGGAAUUCCAUGUGUAGCGGUGAAAUGCGUAGAUAUAUGGAGGAACACCAGUGGCGAAGGCGACGGUCUGGGCCGCAACUGACGCUCAUUCCCGAAAGCGUGGGGAGCAAAUAGGAUUAGAUACCCUAGUAGUCCACGCCGUAAACGAUGGUCACUAAGUGUCGGGGGUCAAACCCCGGUGCUGCAGUCAACGCAAUAAGUGACCCGCCUGAGUAGUACGUUCGCAAGAAUGAAACUCAAAGGAAUUGACGGAAGG